GAUGAACGCUAGCGAUAGGCUUAACACAUGCAAGUCGAGGGGCAGCACGGGAUUAGCUUGCUAAUCUUGGUGGCGACCGGCGUAAGGGUGCGUAACGCGUAUGCAACUUGCCUGUCAGUGGGGGAUAACCCGGAGAAAUCCGGACUAAUACCGCAUACACUUUGGUUUCCGCAUGGGGACUUUAGGAAAGAUUUAUUGCUGACAGAUAGGCAUGCGUUCCAUUAGAUAGUUGGUGAGGUAACGGCUCACCAAGUCGACGAUGGAUAGGGGAGCUGAGAGGCUUAUCCCCCACACUGGAACUGAGACACGGUCCAGACUCCUACGGGAGGCAGCAGUGAGGAAUAUUGGACAAUGGGCGAGAGCCUGAACCAGCCAAGUCGCGUGAAGGAAGACGGUCCUAUGGAUUGUAAACUUCUUUAGUAGGUGAGUACAAGCAGUUACGGGUAGCUGUAAGCAAGUAACCGAAGAAUAAGUAUCGGCUAACUCCGUG
rnacentral:rRNA from 1 species